UUGUGAUGCACUACUCUUCAUCCAUCUCCUAGACCAAGAACGUGGGAGAGAGAGAGAGAGACUUGAGGGAGAUUGAAUUCAUCUAGAUUUUGGCUUGGAUUUAGAAGAAUCAAAGGGAAUUUUGAAGAAUUGUUCUUUUGCUCAUGGACCUUGCUUGAGUAGAGCUUAAUUGAAGAGACUAGGGUUAGCACCCAAGGACGCGGACUAGCCUAUCUGUAGCCCAGUAAUCUGUGUCCAGGCACCGGGCUGAAGCUAGCAGCGUCAAGUUAAGCUCCCGUUUUGUCAAGCUAACUUUUGUGCCUCACAUCGAAGUUCCAAGUGCAUUCAAGCUAAGGUUGUCCCUGGGGUGUCUCAGAUUCACUCCCUUUUGUGUCUGUUUUGUAAUAGUUGAAUAAGACUUUCUGACUGUACAGUAAUGUUGAAGGGACUUGGUCCCUAACCAGGAAGUUAUGUAUAUAUAUUUUAGUUAUGAAUGUAGCUUGUGCAUAAAAGUCUUUGUGCAUUCAAGUUUUCACAGCUCA